ensembl:lncRNA
AGCAGGUAGAUGGUAAGCUCCAGCAGGCGUCGCAGCUGUGCUCUGGUUAACACUCCAGCACCAUGUGUGAACAAAGCAGUAUGUCAUAUCCAGGAACGGACGCCCAAACUGGAAAACUGGGACCAACAGGGUGAUAAUGCUCAGCAUGAAACUGCACAUGAAAACAACCACAGUAUCACUUGGAAGCAGUGGAGUGUUGACGUCUCUCUGGACGGAGACCACAGAUGUCCUGAUGGAGGUGAUGAGUUUGAUCGAGCGUCUUGAGCUGGACCGCAGAGAGACAGAGAAGGCUCUACAGGAAGAAAAGGAGAAAGCAAACUUUCAGAGCAAACUUUCAGAGAAACUGAAGUGCAGUGCAGAAAGGAGAGACUGGAUAUUGAUUACCACAUGCAAUUUAUGUUCAAACUGUUUUUUCCAGCUCUAACAUUUUACUUCAGGCCCAGUAAUGUGGCAAUAAAGUCUCUAUUCUAUUCUAUUCUAUUCUAUUCUAUUACAAUGUACAGUCAAAAAUAUUCAGCGGGGUCAUCAAAAACACACAAAAAUGGCUUGAGGAGCACAAAUAUAAAGUAAUUUAUAUUAAAUGAAAUAAAGUAAAUGUUAAAGGCAAUAAAAUACUAUAUAAAAACUUAAAAUGAUUUUAUUUCAGUUAGUUAUCAAGGCAAAAUUUCAUUUUCACACAUAUGGACUAAAAGCCACAAAACUUAUGAUAUGGGGUCCUUAAAAAAGUUUAAUUACCAAAAUAAUCUCUUUUCUGCUCCAUUUUUAACUUUUCGCAUCUGUCUGUCUCAUAUUUCCACUGUCAGAGCAUGAAGCCUGCAACACAGACAUCGCCGAACUGACAUGGCAACUGAAAAUAAGGAGAGAUCAGCUGCCGCAGGUGAGAGACAGACUGACCCACACGGAGGUGCUGAACCGACGUCUGAAGGAGGAUAUCGAUUUUAUGAGGAAACACGGGCCGCUCGUUCACGAGAGACUCCAGCUGGAGAGUGAAAUCAUGAAGCAGAUCCGAACAGCACAAAGUGAGGCCAGGGAGACGUUUUCAAACACCUCUCAGAAGCUAAAGAGUCUUCAGGAGUUUAAAAAUGAGGAAUUCAGAACAGACCUUAGGAAAAGAGAAAUGAACAAAGGCAUGGAAACAAUCAGAAAUCAUCUGAGUGACAAGCAGAGUGAGUUACAGCAGCUGCAGUCACAGUGUGAGGCGUUUCAAAGAAAAAUUCAAGAGUCGACAGAAAAACUAACAUUGAGAGACGACCAAAUCAAAGCCUUGGUGAAAGAGAGAAUUCAGUAUUCAUUUAGAAAACAUUCACCUGCCAGUUUGCUCACAGGAUAUUUGAUCAAAUCCAUCAAAAUAUUAUGAAGUCAUUUUAAAAAAAUUGGAAUAUUCUGAUUGUAACAAUCAUGAGCUCAUGUUACUUCCUUUUAUUUUUUUAAUCCCCUGAAAGAGCUUUUGUGCCAAAUAUUCAUUUCACUUACCUUUUUUCAAGGUCAGAACAUUAAAAGCUGAAAAAGAUGAUAAAGAAGAGAUAUUUAUGAUAAAGAAGAAUGAAGUAUUGCAGCUUCAAAACCAAAUACAAACAUCUGUAAGCAUAAUAGCCUGUUAUUUUAAAUGAUAUAAAUCAGAGGUGAAACUAUGUGCCGUGUUGGAGAUGUCAACCCUCACGUCCUCUGGAGGGCAGGAAAGGCCCACGAUUCCUUGCACUGAUCUGCCGUGUUUAUUCUCUUAGAGCCUCCAUUUUGUCUAAGCCCUGAUUUCACAAUUACACUACGCUUGAGUGAAUGAGCUGCAGAGCGCUCACUUGUUUCUUUAGCAGUUUGUUUAUUCCUUUUUAAAUCUGUAUUUUGUGCAUUUUUGAUGUUGUUCUGCCACAACAGAGUUUAAUAGUUUAGAAACUUUCCAAAAGAACGAAGCUUGGUUUGACCAUAGGUGGUGCUCUAUGAUGUUUUAGAUUUCGUGAAUGUUUGACACUAUAUUUUAAAUAUGAAAUGAAUUUAAAAUAAGCUUAUGCUUAUGUGCUAGAACAAACAGAGGUCCUUUCAAG